AGCAAAUGUAGCUCUAAAAUUGAAUAGACUUAUCUUUAUAUUAAUAGCAUUUCCCCAUUUUAUUCGAUUUGUAUAAAGAUAAGUCUAUUCAAUUUUAGAGCUACAUUUGC